GUCGAUUUAAAAAAUCGUGAGGGUUCAAGUCCCUCUAUCCCCA
rnacentral:tRNA from 1 species